GGCUCCAUCACCUGCUCUUGUUCAAGAUGGAUUACUGAUUCUGAAGAAUGAAUAGAAUUGUGAAGAGGUGGCUGCGGUCUUGAGUGCUUUGUAUAAUACACACCAAGAGUAUUACUGAUAACUAUACUGGAUGAUUGAUGUAUUUAUAUGAGUCCAUGGCAGGUGCUGUUUUAUGGUCUAGGCAAACAUAUUUGUAAAUAUUGGUAACAAAGCAGUUUUGGGGCUUCAGUUGGAUUGGAAUGGCUGAUGAAUUUUUUCGGCAGUGGGGAGUGCCCAAAGUAGGAAAUGGAGGGCAUGCAAAUCAAUCAAAGUGAGUAUUGAUAUUACUUCCUAUUUUGAUACCCAAAUGGAAAAUGCAUGUUUGCAAAUCAAUCAGGGCAGUUGUAGAUGUCCGUUCUUGUUUCUGCUGGUGAUGAACUCUGUAUGAAUUUCAGCUUCCAUCUAACAGUUUCAAUUUAAGAUUAGCAAAAGUUUUACAAGAAUGCUUCUUUAUUUCAUCAGGGAGAAGAAAGGAAGUUCUGAAAUGCACAAAACCAAUGUGGAAAUAGCCGUUGCAUUAGCUAAAAAUAUUCACCCGCUCUAGCAAUCUCAAUAUUUAGACGAUGAAGCUUUCAGGUUUUGACCCUUUUUCUUUGUAUUUGUUGAACCCUAUGAGCUUCAUUCAAUUGCCUACUUUCAAAGCCGCUUCAUCUUGGUUAUUGCUUAUCCUACUUGUGUAGAGCAUUUAAGAAAUUGUAUUCUGAUCUUCAGUAGAAAAGUUUCGAUAUUUUUUCAGUGUGCU